GAGGAGGAGGCCCAAGAAGAAUAUACCAUGAUGGAAAGGCCGGAUGGCCCAACUGGUGCUAUUCUUUCAGGAAAAGGCAAGAGACCACAAACACAGACCAUAGAAGCCCAACUCCUAAAUGAUAAGUCGGUGCAUAACAGAGAGAAUGCUAAGGAGAGAGAAUGUUAAGGGAAGACAGACUGUGCACAAAACAGUAAGAGCACGACGAGGAACAAGAAGCAGACAAAUCAAGCAGCAGAAACAGAUAGUCACACGGUGGUUCGAGGCUAUGACAAAGGAACCCGGGUGGAGAAAACUACGAUAGACGAGGAAGGCAGCAAAACUGAAAUCUUCCAUGACCGGACCGAGACAGGGGAUCACCAUUAGGACCCGCCGGAUAGUGGUACAAUGAUAGACACAGGGGACUUGGAAGACCUUAUGACUGAUGUGGUGUUUAUUGUUGGCCAGUCUUCGACUGGUACUGGUGGGGGUGUUCUGUGAGCUCCCGUCGCUGUGCAGGUUUGCUGUUGUUUUUUGUUUUCUCCUUUUUGGUGUGUUUUUUAUGAAGAUUUUUAGCUGGAACUGCCAGGGGGCUACGUCCUAUGGGUUUAGGCGUGCUCUCCUACUGUUGGUUAACAAAGUAAAGACUGAUUUGGUUGGCUUUUUAGAACUAAGGAUCUCGGGUUUUACUGCGAAUAAGGCAUACAAGAAUUUUGGUUUUGAUAAUUGGAUUAGAGUGGAAGUGGUUGGGUUCAGUGGGGGGCAUCUAGCUCAUGUGGAGAAAGAAUAUUGAAGUGGAAGUUCUCGCCACUAACCCCCAAUUAUUGUUAACAAGAGUCAGCAAGGGUAACGAAAAGGUGCAAUUGGUGCCGUUUGUGUAUGACAACCCAUCGCACUACCUUAGAAACAAACUGUGGGAGAAUUUGUCUAAAGAUAAACUCCCCUUAAACAAAGAAUGGAUCAUAGUGGGGGAUUACAACGCCAUGACAUGCAUGGAAGACGGUGGCAACAAGGACAAUUUCCACAACCACAGAUGUGCAGGUAUGAGACAUUGGAUUUUUAAAGAAGGAUUAAUUGAUAUGGGUUUUGUUGGUGCCAGGUACACAUCGACGAGAGGAAGAGAUAUUUCAACUUUUACUGGAGCAAGACUUGACCGAGCACUCUGCAAUCUGGAUUGGAUCACCAAGUAUCCAAAUACUAAGGUGUUUCACUUGCCAAGGGUGUGUUCGGACCAUUCCCCGCUGCUUAUCGAACUUGGGAACACGACCGAGAAUCACAAGAGUUUUACCUUCCACUUCCAAGCAACAUGGAGCAAACACCCGGGCUUCCAAAAUAUGGUAAAGUAGCGCUGGGAUAUAAAUAAACCGAUCUUGGAUAAUCUCUUGAGAAUGUGGACCAGCUGCGUUAAGUGGAGCAAAGAGGAAUUCGGCAAUAUUGAAAGGAAAAAACAGAACUUUAUGGCACGGAUUGAAGGAAUUCAAAGGAAAAUGGAUAGCCAUCUGCACAAUGGGCUUCUUAAGCUUGAGAGGAAAAUUCGUGUGGAACUCGAAAAAGUCCUCCACCAAGAGGAGCUCAAAUGGUUUCAAAAAUCAAAAGAGGAAUGGAUCCUUUCGGGAGAUCUUAACACCAAAUUCUACCAUGCUACAACAUGGUCAGGCGCACAAGAGGGAAAAUUCACGGGCUCAAAAACAGUGAUGAUACCUGGGUUCAUGACAUGAAGCAGUUAGAAAGUAUGGUCUAGGAAUACUAUAAACAGCUAUACACUAAGGAGGAUGUGACUGUUGAAGUUGACGAAUUGAGUGGGUUCCUAGGAUCGACGACGGGAAGUGGAACCUGGUGAAUAGAGGGAUCACUAAAGACGAGGUUGAAGAAGCUAUGAUGGUCAUGGCACCGGGACCCGAUGGCUUUCAUGCCAUGUUUUACCAAAAAAAAAUUGGAAUAUUGUAGGGGAAUAUUUGUACAAGUUGGUCGAAAGGUUCUUCAUAGAGGGAAUCCUCUCGGAAGGCCUUAAUGAAACUAACCUGGUUCUCAUUCCCAAAGUAGAGAACUCGGAAAGGGUUAACCAGUUAAGGCCGAUCAGUUUGUGCAAUGUUGCAUACAAACUGGUUACUAAGGUCAUGACGAACAGACUAAAGGGUGUAAUGUCGGACCUUGUGAGCCCGAAUCAAAGUAGCUUCGUGGCAGACAGGCAAAUCACAGAUAACAUUGUUAUCUACCAGGAAAUCCUACACACUAUAAGGACCGAGAGAGGCAGCACUGGUUGCAUGGUGCUAAAGAUUGAUCUGGAGAAAGCGUACGAUCGGCUAGAUUGGAGGUUUAUUUGGUCCACGCUUAAGGAAAUUGGUCUGAACAAUAAUUAUAUUAGAAAUAUAAUGAGCUGCGUGGAAACUGCGAGAAUGUCAAUUCUCUGGGAUGGAAGGAAUCUUGAAAGAUUUAAACCGGAGAGAGGAGUUUGGUAGGGAGACGUCAUCUCGCCAUAUUUAUUUGUCCUCUGUAUAGAGCGCUUUGGGCACAUCAUCACCAAAGCGAAGCCCAGGGAGAAAGCGAAGAAGCUAGCAAAUAUGGCCGGCAUUCCAAUGACCUCGGACUUAGGUAGAUACCUGGGGGUACCUUCGCUCCAUGGGAGGAUAACAAAGGAUCACUGCAAAAGCAUUUUGGACAGAGUCCAGAGCAGAUUAAAGGGAUGGAAGACUCGCUACCUCAGCUUGGUAGGAAGACAAAUACUGAUACAGUCUGUCCUCAACGCAAUCCCGUCCCACACCAAGCAAACUAUGCUCAUCCCGGAAGGAGUGUGCGAUUCAAUAGACAAGACCACGAGGAGUUUCCUAUGGGGAGGCGAUGGCAUGAAAAGGAAGACCAGCUUAGUGAAGUGGAACACGAUCACGCAACCUAAAGGGGAAGGCAGACUAGGGAUCAAAUCCAUGCGUAGCAUGAACAUGGCGCUACUGGCUAAACUAGGAUGGAGAAUGCUCAAGGAGAACAAUGACACUUGGGCUCGCACUAAUCUAUACUUAAUGCCGGCUAUAUAAGAAGCUCAUAAUCGAAGUUGGUCCGCACACUAGAUGAAGCAGAAGAUGACGACAUUAUACCCAAGAAGAUUUAGGCGUUGUGUUUACGAACCCCAUGCGACAAAUGGCGAAUCGUGAGUUGGAUGGAGAUUGUGUCGAUGACAAUUAUCAGAUAAUGAAUCAAUGGCGAAGGGAGGGUGAUCUGAGUUUGAUGAAGGGCUAGGGUUUGCUCCUUAUAUUUACUGACCUGGAAUAUAUUGCUAUUAUUUCCAUUUCCAGGUCAACAAUGCGCAUCGCCAACCGGAUGGUAACCUGCGAAAUAGGCUUAUCGAACGAAUUUAAAAGAAUGGAGGGACCCAUUGUCCCGAAGAUUAGCGACGCCUACAAGUCGCUACACUAGCAACAUCACGCUGGAGGAGGAUAACCAAGCCAUCCGGGGGGUGCUCCAAGAUAGUCAAGCCAUGCAGGGAGAGUUGACCAAGAUUAGCUAAGAAAUCCGCACACUGGUUACCCUCCCGAAAAGUAUGGAUGAUCUUCGCUUCAUGAAACUGGUUCAGGAGGAAUUUACAGUCAAUAUUAUUACGUGCAAUAUUAUUAUUAUAUUUUUUCAAUAAAUUUGGUUCAAUAUGUUACUAGUCAUAAUCACUUACCAAA